rnacentral:lncRNA from 1 species
GAGUGGGAAGGGGCUUCACACAAAGAUCAGGAAAGCUUGACGUAUGGCUAGUGAACUUUAGGAGGGAGAGGUACUGGGAUGUGGCUCAACCAGAGAAAAUCCCAGGUCAAAUGAAGUCAGACAGCAAAGGUGAUUGAAUUUUCAAUCUUGAAAAUACAUCAUGGAACCUGAUUUUCCAAAGAAGUGAUUCAAACUGAACAGCAAGGAAGCUUAACUUAUUGCUGCCUGUCUCAGAACUCAAGCUCACACUUCUCUUUUCUUCAAAUACUCGCCUGUUUCUAACAAUCUGCCCACUGCUCUGGGUCCCGAUGCCUCGACGCUGCAUCUUGCUGCCCCGGUACUCUCUUUAACCUCAGGAGAAGAAUCCCCACCUCGUGUCACUAGAAUGUGGAACAGAGAAGAAGGAAGAGCUGACAUAGUACAGACCAAGAAGAUUUUAAAAACAAACAAACAAACAAACAAACAAAACCACAUCCAGUUCCAUCAGCCACACCUGGCAGUAAAGCCCUCAGUGGCCAACUCAGCAGUCCCACUUUGAUUCUUCUUAGACGGCAGCAUCUUCUUAGAUAAUGCUGUGCCUGAUGCACAGUAGAAGCUUAAUAAAUACUAUGACAAAUUAAUGUCUUUACUGAUUAUAUAUAGUUUUCUGGGUGAGAGCAAUGAAGAUAAUCCUAUGUCUUCCUUAAUCCAGGCAACAGACAGCUUUCUGUUUAAAAUUUGUGUUCUGGAUAAUCAGGGUAUACAGAAUGCUGAUGUAUUACCAUAGUAUCAAACUACAAUAAGGCAAUGUUAAUCUAGCAAUAUAUAUAAUGAGAAUAUUGGCUACAACAGAAAAACAGGGGCUUGUCUGGUCUGUAUCUCUCAAGUGUGAGGAAGCAGUUUAGUCAAACAAGUUGAAAAAUAAAACAAAAUUUAAAAAGGAUAAAAAAAAACCCUGGUUCUUUGUUUUCCAGGGGAGACCAUCUCUAUACUGAACUAAAUUUAACUUCCCUAUUGUGUAUGAUCGCCCUCCAAUAUGGGGCUACUCUGCCCAGAGGGACGACUUUGCCCGUGAUGAGGAUUAAUCCCACUCUUGACCCACACAGAUGGUUUUAGUGACUGUAUCUUUUGUGCAGCUCCAUUUCUUCUCAAAAUGUGCAGAUGAGAUGUUUCUUCCAGCCUCUGGAUAUUGAGGUGCCUGGGAUACCUGAGUGAGGGAAGAAAGGAGCACCAAGAAGUGGCAGCUGAAGCCAGAUUGCACAAGAGAGAAAGGAAGACCAUCCAAGGCAGACAGAAAAACUCAAGAGAGCAGCCGUCUGGGGCUAUUUAUCACAUGAACAAAGUCAGAAGCCUUUCAAUCUUCCUCCUGUAUUACAUCAGGGUUCAUUUUUAAAAGAUACGCAACUUGGUGAUCACAAGUUAUUAAAAAAAAGUAGAAGAGAUGGAA